GGCAAGGGGUGUGGCAGUCUGGGGUGCAGUCUGCAGAUGCUAGACGGAGCUGGCAUCCUCCUGGCCAGGGCUUUUGGUGUUCCACGCAAGGUCAGCAAUUGACAGUUCAGCUAUGGAGUAAGGAUGAAUCUUGUCAACAAUGAAUCCAAAGAACUGGCUUUGCUGCAUUUGGAGUUGUACACUACAUGCUUUUGUACUUGAGAAGCUGAAAAUCUACUUUGAAAGUGAAGAUACAGAUGCCCAAGUGUGCUAUGUCUGGAGCGUCAGAAGCCCGAGAGCGGAUCAUCCAAACCAGACACCGAUGUGUCUCUUCACAGCGUCCUUGGGAGGCUUGGACCUUGGUGGACUGGUUGAUGCCCACCACAUUGGGGAGGACCACCUGCUCUACUCAGCUCAACAAUUCCAGCGCUAAUCUCUUUUGCAACCACCCUCACAGAGGGCACUGUUUCACACCUCCUUACAACUACGGAUCAAAGCGUCUCAACAUUUUAUUAUGAAAUCAUGAAAAUCCUCCUCCACUUUGCAUAUGAAUUAUAGUCUUUUUUUAAACCACCAGUAUAGCCCAGUGACAGUGGCUUUUGAACAGCUACAGGGAACAAGGUGUUAGAUAUUUAUUCCUUGAAGGCUGUGACUAGCGGGAUAAAAUCGCUGAAUGUGGCCUGCCAGGGUACUCUCCAAGAUCUCCAGCAGACACAAAAGCUUGGGGGUAGGGGACCCUUGGCACUACAAAGAGGACAGUGAUUUUUCCUCUUGUCGGGAAACAAAAUUUGGUGUGAAAGCUUCCAUGUAGGAGCAAGGAAGAAAGGAAAAGAUACACACUUUGUACCUUCAAGUUAAACAGAAAAGAAGACACCUUCACCUUCC